AACAGAAAAAGGCAAACCAUUUGAAAGGAUGGGACGCAAAGUCACGGGUCUAAGGAAUCACUCAUUCUACGACAGCCGGAUUGCCUGG
rnacentral:ncRNA from 1 species